UCGGUUUCCAAACUUCUUCCAGCUUGGACACUCGAUGGUGAUUAAGUCUUGCUUAGACAUGAAGGCAAGCAAACCCACAAAAGCCAUGACAAUGAUGGCAAGGUGAGCCCUGCCCAGUCUCUGCCAGCUACAUAGCUACAAGCUCCUGCUUGAGCUUCCUGUAAACACACCUUAUUCUGACAAAACAACUCAAACCCACCUACCAACCCUCACCAUUCUCCCCUCUCACAAGCUCUUUAUCAUAGUUUCCUCAGCAGAAGCCUCAGCACCAGGUGCCAUAUUAGAAAUGCAGAUUCUUAGGCCAGACAUGAUAGCGUAAAAGAUGGAAAGCUGUGAUCCCAGGACUCGGGAGACAGGCAGAAGUUCAAGGCCAGCCAGGACUACGUAGUGAACUGGGGACGGAAUGCAGAUUUCAUGUUCAUUACACUAGACUUUCCAGGUUCCGAAGACAAACAGUGAGACUUAAGGGAUUUCUUUCAGACCUACUGAGUCAGAAUGGUGGGGGUAAGGCCCAUUUGAGAGCCAAUGGGCUUGGUUGGUACAGUUCUCCGGCUUCUCUUUACAGAUGACACCUGACGCCUAGAGAGCAAAGCUCAAGGUUAUCAUGUGGCAUCAUGGACAAGCUGCAAUGCCAGGUAGCCCACCUGUGAUACGGGAGAGGCAAGGCUGGGGUGGGGGUGGGGUUGUCACACACCUCUCUGCUCCCCGAGUCAGUAAGAGAAUUCAGCGGUGGGUAUGUUUGGAGAUGUUUUGCUUCAGUUAUGCUGAGGGAUACUUCCAGGCCCGGUCAUUCAAGGAUGGCUGUGCACAAGAGCUCAGUUGGAGUGGAGACUUAGACUGUGACUCCUCAUCGAGUCACAUAUGAUACAUAUGUGUCACAUAUGAUAAGUCUGGCUUCUGGGAAGGGGCACAUUUAGGAGAACAGAAGCGUGUUUCAGUACAGUCGGUAAGAGGGUACACUGGGGAACAGCUGGGCA
rnacentral:lncRNA from 1 species